rnacentral:rRNA from 1 species
CCGGCUUGACAAGUCCUUCUGUUAAAUCCAGCAACCCCAAUUGUUGGACUUGCGGGAGAUACUGUCAAGCUAGAGAACGGGAGAAGUCGACGGUACUCUCAGGGUAGGAGUGAAAUCCUAUAAUCCUGGGAGGACCACCAGUGGCGUAGGCCUUUCGACUAGAACGUUGUCUGACGGUGAGGGACGAAAGCUUGGGGAGCGAACCGGAUUAGAUACCCGGGUAGUCCAAGCUGUAAACGAUGCGGGCUAGGUGUUGGUGUGGUACGUGCCACUUCAGUGCCGCAGGGAAGCCGUUAAGCCCGCCGCCUGGGGAGUACGGUCGCAAGGCUGAAACUUAAAGGAAUUGGCGGGGGAGCACCACAAGGGGUGAAGCUUGCGGUUUAAUUGGAGUCAACGCCGGGAACCUUACCGGGGACGACAGCAGAAUGAAGGCCAGAUUUAAGGUCUUGCUAGACGAGCUGAGAGGAGGUGCAUGGCCGUCGCCAGUUCGUGCCGUGAGGUGUCCUGUCAAGUCAGGCAACGAUCGAGACCCACAUCCAUUGUUGCGGCCGAGGAGAUUCUCCGAGGAGCAAGACUGUGGAGACUGCCGCCGAUAAGGCGGAGGAAGGAGUGGGCCACGGCAGGUCAGUAUGCCCCGAAUUCCUCGGGCCACACGCGAGCUGCAAUGGCAGGGACAAUGAGCUUCCGACCUCGAGAGGGGGAGGCAAUCUUAAACCCUGUCUCAGUUGGGAUUGAGGGCUGCAACCCGCCCUCAUGAAUCAUGGAAUCCUAGUAAUCGCGC